rnacentral:rRNA from 1 species
UUCCGCGCCCUGCUCGGCUCCUUCCUCACCACCCUCUCCCGCUCCCUCGCCCUCCCGGCCCCGCCCGCCAAGCUCCUGCCCGCCGUCCGCGCCGCGGCCCCCUUCCUCCCCGCCACGCUCGCCCCGCUCCUCGCCUCCAGCGCCGCCCGCCUCGCCGAGUACGACGUGCUGCUCGCCCUCGCGGAGACCCGCGCGCUCCCGCACCCGCCGCAGGGCCUCCUCGCGGCCCUCGACGCCGCGGCCCGCCCCGACCUCCUCUGCGCCGUGCUCCGCCAGGCCGCCGACCUCCGCUCGGCCGAGCUCCUCGCCGCGCUCCGCUGCUUCCUCUCCCCGGCCUCCGACCGGGCCUACGACGCCAUGGUCGCCGUCAAGACCCGCUGGAAGGAGGCUGCCUUGGCCGUCGCCAACAUGGCCGUCGACGAGCCCACCACGGGCGCCCAGGUCACGAGGCGUGCCGCGAUCCUGCUCAUGAUGGGACACGACGGGUUCACCUCCCCGGAGGUGUGCCUGCACUACCUCUUCGCGUCGAGGAACGUCGAGGACUCGCUGGUCCUCGCCGCGGCCGUGUCCGAGCUGGACGGCGGGGAGGUGGCCAGCCUGCUGAGGUACCUCGCCAAGUGGGUGGGGAAGUACUCCAGGUUCCCGGAGGCCCAGCCUUGCCCUGAGGCGGUGGAAAUCCACAAGCUGGAGCAGUGCGACAGCGUGCCGUCGCUUGUGGCAGUGGCCAGGGCGAUGGGCCUGGUGCUGGACCAGCAUUUCUCCCACCUCGUGCUGAAUGCGGAGCUGCGGCAGGACUUGUUGGCCGCGGGGGUGAUGGCGAAAGAGCUGGCUGCUGAGGCUGAAGCUUCCGGUCCGAUCCUCGACUUGCUGCGCCGUAUGCCGCAGGCUGUGUGA